CGAAUUUCUCUCCCCCCCUCGGAGAUGGGAAAAAAUAAAGCGUAGCAUGUUUUCCGUUGUCUUAGCGUGCGGAAGGAUCAUUACCACACAUAAAAACUUUCCACGUGAACCGAUCAACCCAAUAGUUGGGGGUCUUACUUGGCGGCGGCUGCUGGCUUUAUUGCUGGCGGCUACUGCUGGGCGAGCCCUAUCAAAAGGCGAGCGUUUGGACUUCGGUCUGAGCUAGUAGCUUUUUUAUUUUAAACCCUUUACUUAAUACUGAUUAUACUGUGGGGACGAAAGUCUCUGCUUUUAACUAGAUAGCAACUUUCAGCAGUGGAUGUCUAGGCUCGCACAUCGAUGAAGAACGCUGCGAACUGCGAUACGUAAUGCGAAUUGCAGGAUUCAGUGAGUCAUCGAAAUUUUGAACGCAUAUUGCACUUCCGGGUUAGUCCUGGAAGUAUGCCUGUAUCAGUGUCCGUACAACAAACUUGGCUUUCUUCCUUCCGUGUAGUCGGUGGAGGAGAUGCCAGAUGUGAAGUGUCUUGCGGUUGGUUUUCGGACCGACUGCGAGUCCUUUUAAAUGUACUAAACUGUACUUCUCUUUGCUCCAAAAGUGGUGGCAUUGCUGGUUGUGGACGCUGCUAUUGUAGCGAGUUGGCGACCGGUUUGUCUGCUGCGGCGUUAAUGGAGAAAUGCUCGAUUCGUGGUAUGGUUGGCUUCGGCUGAACAAUGCGCUUAUUGGGUGAUUUUCCUGCUGUGGCGUGAUGGACUGGUGAACCAUGGCUCUUUAGCUUGGCAUUUGAAUCGGCUUUGCUGUUGCGAAGUAGAGUGGCGGCUUCGGCUGCCGAGGGUCGAUCCAUUUGGGAAAUGUUGUGUACUUCGGUAUGCAUCUCAAUUGACCUGAUAUCAGGCAAGAUACAAGCUUCC
rnacentral:rRNA from 1 species